GGUCUCCGUUGGUGAACCAGCGGAGGGAUCAUUACAGAGUUAUCUAACUCCCAAAACCCAUGUGAACUUACCUUUGUUGCCUCGGCAGAAGCUACCUGUACCUACCUGGAACAGCCUACCUGGAGCGAUCCGGGCUGGCCUACCUGGAACGGUCUGGUGGUCGACUGCCGGUGGACCAUUCAACUCUUGUUAUUUUAUUGUAAUCUGAGCGUCUUAUUUUAAUAAGUCAAAACUUUCAACAACGGAUCUCUUGGUUCUGGCAUCGAUGAAGAACGCAGCGAAAUGCGAUAAGUAAUGUGAAUUGCAGAAUUCAGUGAAUCAUCGAAUCUUUGAACGCACAUUGCGCCCAUUAGUAUUCUAGUGGGCAUGCCUGUUCGAGCGUCAUUUCAACCCUUAAGCCUAGCUUAGUAUUGGGAGUCUACUGUAUUGUAGUUCCUCAAAUCCAACGGCGGAUCUGUGGUAUCCUCUGAGCGUAGUAAAUUUUUAUCUCGCUUUUGUCAGGUGCCGCAGCUCCCAGCCGCUAAACCCCCAAAUUUUUUAAUGGUUGACCUCGGAUCAGGUAGGAAUACCCGCUGAACUUAAGCAUAUCAAUA
rnacentral:misc_RNA from 1 species